rnacentral:rRNA from 1 species
AUGAACGCUGGCGGCGUGCCUAAUACAUGCAAGUCGAGCGAACAGACGCGGAGCUUGCUCCUCUGACGUUAGCGGCGGGCGGGUGAGAAACACGUGGAUAACCUACCUAUAAGUCUGGGAUAACUUCGGGAAACCGGAGCUAAUACCGGAUAAUAUAUUGCACCGCAUGGUUCAAUAGUGAAAGACGGUUUUGCUGUCACUUAUAGAUGGAUCCGCGCCGCAUUAGCUAGUUGGUAGGGUAACGGCUUACCACGGGAACGAGGCGUAGCCGACCUGAGAGGCGGAUCGGCGGCACUGGAGCGGGGACAGGGUCCAGACUCCUACGGGAGGCAGCAGUAGGGAAUCGGCCGCAAUAGGCGAAAGCCUGACGGAGCAACGCCGCGUGAGUGAUGAAGGUCUUCGGAUCGUAAAGCUCUGUUAUUGGGGAAGAACAAAUGUGUAAGUAACUAUGCACGUCUUGACGGUACCUAAUAAGAAAGCCACGGCUAACUACGUG